ensembl:snRNA U6 U6 spliceosomal RNA
GUGAUCACUUCAGCAGCACAGGUACCAAAAUUGGAAUGACACUGAGACUAUUUUUAGCGUGGCUCCUGUGCAAAGAUGAUACGAAAAUUCGUGAGCAUUCCACAUUUCU